AUGAUGGAAUCCUUCAAUGUUUUACUAGUGAUUCUGUGGCUUCAGUUGAACGGGGUGAGCAGCCAGCAGGAGGUGGAGCAGAGUCCUGAGUCCCUCAGUGUUCUCGAGGGAGCCAUUGCCUCUCUCAAUUGUACUUACAGGGACAGUGCUUCUCAGUACUUCAGGUGGUACCGACAGUAUCCUGGGAAAGGCCCCGAGUUCCUGGUGUCCAUGUACUCCAGUGGUGACAAGGAAGAAGGAAGAUUCACAAUGCAGCUCAACACAGCCAGCCGGCAUGUUUCCCUGUACAUCAGAGACUCCCAGCACAGUGACUCAGCCACCUACCUCUGCGCAGUGAGCACACAGUGCUCCCCAGGCACCUGCAGCCUGCACCCAAACCAUAGGGCCUUGGGAGGCUUGAGGGAGCAGAGACCACAGGGCAGAGAGUUUCUGUUUCUGCUCCAGAGGGAUUCAGAUUCACAGUGA